CGCACAUAAGACAUGCAAGUCGAACGAACAUAGAUUUGUUACAUAAUCGAAAGUUAGUGACGGACUGGUGAGUAACACGUGAGCAACCUACCUUUAAGAGGGGAAUAACAGUGAGAAAUCAUUGCUAAUACCGCAUAACGCAUAACCUCCGCAUGAAGGAUAUGCCAAAGGAGAAAUCCGCUUAAAGAUGGGCUCGCGGCUGAUUAGUUAGUGGUGGGUAACGGCCUACCAAGACAGUGAUCAGUAGCCGAGCUGAGAGGCUCAACGGCCACAUUGGGACUGAGAUACGGCCCAGACUCCUACGGGAGGCAGCAGUCGGGAAUAUUGCACAAUGGAGGAAACUCUGAUGCAGUGACGCCGCGUACAGGAAGAAGGUCCUCUGGAUUGUAAACUGUUGUCGAAGGGGAAGAGAAAGGACAGUACCCUUGGAGGAAGCUCCGGCAAACUACGUGCCAGCAGCAGC
rnacentral:rRNA from 1 species